rnacentral:rRNA from 1 species
UACGUAGGGUGCGAGCGUUAAUCGGAAUUACUGGGCGUAAAGCGUGCGCAGGCGGUUCGUUGUGUCGGCGGUGAAAGCCCCGGGCUCAACCUGGGAAUGGCCGUUGAAACUGGCGAACUGGAGUGUGGCAGAGGGGGGUGGAAUUCCGCGUGUAGCAGUGAAAUGCGUAGAGAUGCGGAGGAACAUCGAUGGCGAAGGCAGCCCCCUGGGCUGACACUGACGCUCAGGCACGAAAGCGUGGGGAGCAAACAGG